rnacentral:rRNA from 1 species
UGCCAGCCGCCGCGGUAAUACCGGCGGGCUCGAGUGGGUGGCCACUAUUACUGGGGCUUAAAGCGUUCGUAGCUGGUUUGUUAAGUCUCUGGGGAAAUCUUCCGGCUUAACCGGAGGGCGUCUCAGGGAUACUGGCAGACUAGGGACCGGAAGAGGUGAGAGGUACUCCAGGGGUAGGAGUGAAAUCCUGUAAUCCUUGGGGGACCACCUGUGGCGAAGGCGUCUCACCAGGACGGCUCCGACAGUGAGGGACGAAAGCUGGGGGAGCAAACCGGAUUAGAUACCCGGGUAGUCCCAGCCGUAAACGAUGUGCAUUAGGUGUAUCGGUGACCACGAGUCACCGAGGUGCCGAAGAGAAAUCGUGAAAUGCACCGCCUGGGAAGUACGGUCGCAAGGCUGAAACUUAAAGGAAUUGGCGGG